rnacentral:lncRNA from 1 species
UAAACUUUAACUAAUUCUCCAUCACUUAGACAUCUUGCCCUUUCCCUUGCUAGUAGAUGGAUCAUCACCUCUUUCAACUUUAGUUGCAUUGUUUAGUUGCAAGAGUGAGCAAAAAAUUGCUCACUGCCAUAAAGAUAGUAUAAUAACAACAUGAGAGUGACCAACGAAUAAUUAAUAAUAAAGAACUUGCUCUACGAAUCAAAAUAGAAAACAAGUUUGAAGUUUAAU